GUUGUUACCCACCUCUUAGGAUAUUACCUUCCAAAUGAUGAUGGAGAAUUUUAUCAGUUCUGUUACGUCACCCAUAAGGGUGAAAUUCGUGGAGCCAGUACUCCUUUCCAGUUUCGAGCUGCUUCUCCAGUUGAAGAGCUGCUCACUAUGGAAGAUGAAGGAAAUUCUGAUAUGUUGGUGGUGACCACAAAAGCUGGCCUUCUUGAGCUGAAAAUUGAAAAGACCCUGAAAGAAAAAGAAGAAUUGUUAAAGUUGGUUUCUGUUCUUGAAAAAGAAACAGCACAGCUGAGAGAACAAGUUGGAAGAAUGGAGAGAGAACUCAGCCAUGAGAAAAGCCGGUGUGAGCAAUUGCAGGCAGAGCAGAAGGGCCUUCUUGAAGUAUCCCAGAGUUUGAGAGUGGAAAAUGA
rnacentral:lncRNA from 1 species